rnacentral:rRNA from 1 species
ACGAACGCUGGCGGCGUGCCUAAUACAUGCAAGUCGAGCGGACAGAAGGGAGCUUGCUCCCGGAUGUUAGCGGCGGACGGGCGAGUAACACGUGGGUAAACCUGCCUGUAAGACUGGGAUAACUCCGGGAAACCGGAGCUAAUACCGGAUAGUCCUUGAACCGCAUGGUCAAGGAUGAAAGACGGUUUCGGCUGUCACUUACAGAUGGACCCGCGGCGCAUUAGCUAGUUGGUGGGGUAAUGGCUCACCAAGGCGACGAUGCGUAGCCGACCUGAGAGGGUGAUCGGCCACACUGGGACUGAGACACGGCCCAGACUCCUACGGGAGGCAGCAGUAGGGAAUCUUCCGCAAUGGACGAAAGUCUGACGGAGCAACGCCGCGUGAGUGAUGAAGGUUUUCGGAUCGUAAAGCUCUGUUGUUAGGGAAGAACAAGUGCCAGAGUAACUGCUCGCACCUUGACGGUACCUAACCAGAAAGCCACGGCUAACUACGUGCCAGCAGCCGC